rfam:Helicobacter canis NCTC 12740 genomic scaffold addTr-supercont-complete, whole genome shotgun sequence.
UUUUUAGACCUAUGCAAGGACAUCUCUAGGCAACGCUUCAGGGUGGGAACACAGCAGAGCACUUAGAUUUGGCUUGUGCCGUAGGGAUCUGGGAAGGG